UAAUACGGAAGGUGCGAGCGUUAAUCGGAAUUACUGGGCGUAAAGCGCACGUAGGUGGCUUGGUAAGUCGGAUGUGAAAGCCCCGGGCUCAACCUGGGAACUGCAUUCGAUACUGCCGAGCUAGAGUACGAAAGAGGGGGGUGGAAUUCCAGGUGUAGCGGUGAAAUGCGUAGAGAUCUGGAGGAACACCAGUGGCGAAGGCGGCCCCCUGGUUCGAUACUGACGCUGAGGUGCGAAAGCGUGGGGAGCAAACAGG
rnacentral:rRNA from 1 species